GGGCUACACGCGGCCUACAAUGGACAGGACAAUGGGCUCCGAUCCCGAAAGGGAAAGGCAAUCCUUUAAACCUGUUCUUAGUUCGGAUUGAGGGCUGUAACUCGCCCUCAUGAAGCUGGAAUCUCUAGUAAUCGCGUGUCAUUAUCGCGCGGUGAAUACGUCCCUGCUCCUU
rnacentral:rRNA from 1 species